AACGAACGCUGGCGGCAUGCCUAACACAUGCAAGUCGAACGAGAUCUUCGGGUCUAGUGGCGCACGGGUGCGUAACGCGUGGGAAUCUGCCCUUUGGUUCGGAAUAACAGUUGGAAACGACUGCUAAUACCGGAUGAUGACGAAAGUCCAAAGAUUUAUCGCCAGAGGAUGAGCCCGCGUAGGAUUAGCUAGUUGGUGUGGUAAAGGCGCACCAAGGCGACGAUCCCUAGCUGGUCUGAGAGGAUGAUCAGCCACACUGGGACUGAGACACGGCCCAGACUCCUACGGGAGGCGGCAGUGGGGAAUAUUGGACAAUGGGCGAAAGCCUGAUCCAGCAAUGCCGCGUGAGUGAUGAAGGCCUUAGGGUUGUAAAGCUCUUUUACCCGGGAUGAUAAUGACAGUACCGGGAGAAUAAGCUCCGGCUAACUCCGUGCCAGCAGCCGCAGUAA
rnacentral:rRNA from 1 species